rnacentral:rRNA from 1 species
UGGGGAAUCUUCCGCAAUGGACGAAAGUCUGACGGAGCAACGCCGCGUGAGUGAAGAAGGUUUUCGGAUCGUAAAACUCUGUCUUUUGGGGCGAACGUGAGUAUGGUGAACAAUCAUAGUCAGUGACGGUACCAAAGGAGGAAGCCACGGCUAACUACGUGCCAGCAGCCGCGGUAAUACGUAGGUGGCAAGCGUUGUCCGGAAUUAUUGGGCGUAAAGAGCGCGUAGGCGGGAUAGUCAGUCUGUUGUAAAAGUGCGGGGCUCAACCCCGUGAUGGCAAUGGAAACAGCUAUUCUUGAGUUCGACGAGGAGGAAGGAAGUGGAAUUCCCAGUGUAGCGGUGAAAUGCGUAGAUAUUGGGAGGAACACCAGUGGCGAAGGCGACUUUCUGGACUGUGUCUGACGCUGAGGCGCGAAAGCCAGGGGAGCGAACGGGAUUAGAUACCCCGGUAGUCCUGGCCGUAAACGAUGGGUACUAGGUGUGGGAGGUAUCGACCCCUUCCGUGCCGGAGUUAANGCAAAUAAGUACCCCGCCUGGGGAGUAGGUCGCAAGACUGAAACUCAAAUGAAUUGACGGGGUCAUAGCUGUUUCCU